CUCCGAUGAUGAUCCCGCCAUGCUAAUACUGAUGCACCAGACUGACGGUGUGUCUCUUUUGGAUAGUGGGCCCAUUGAGGAGA